GACGAACGCUGGCGGCGUGCUUAACACAUGCAAGUCGAACGGAAAGGCCCUGCUUUUGUGGGGUGCUCGAGUGGCGAACGGGUGAGUAACACGUGAGUAACCUGCCCUUGACUUUGGGAUAACUUCAGGAAACUGGGGCUAAUACCGGCUAGGAGCUCCUGCUGCAUGGUGGGGGUUGGACAGUUUCGGCGGUUGGGGAUGGACUCGCGGCUUAUCAGCUUGUUGGUGGGGUAGUGGCUUACCAAGGCUUUGACGGGUAGCCGGCCUGAGAGGGUGAACGGCCACAUUGGGACUGAGAUACGGCCCAGACUCCUACGGGAGGCAGCAGUGGGGAAUAUUGCACAAUGGGCGGAAGCCUGAUGCAGCAACGCCGCGUGCGGGAUGACGGCCUUCGGGUUGUAAACCGCUUUCGCCUGUGACGAAGCGUGAGUGACGGUAAUGGGUAAAGAAGCACCGGCUAACUACGUG
rnacentral:rRNA from 1 species